rnacentral:rRNA from 1 species
UUCGAAAGGGAAACAGCCCAGACCACCAGCUAAGGUCCCAAAAUAUAUGUUAAGUGGAAAAGGAUGUGGCGUUGCCCAGACAACUAGGAUGUUGGCUUAGAAGCAGCCAUCAUUUAAAGAGUGCGUAAUAGCUCACUAGUCGAGUGACACUGCGCCGAAAAUGUACCGGGGCUAAACAUAUUACCGAAGCUGUGGAUUGUCCUUUGGACAAUGGUAGGAGAGCGUUCUAAGGGCGUUGAAGCAUGAUCGUAAGGACAUGUGGAGCGCUUAGAAGUGAGAAUGCCGGUGUGAGUAGCGAAAGACGGGUGAGAAUCCCGUCCACCGAUUGACUAAGGUUUCCAGAGGAAGGCUCGUCCGCUCUGGGUUAGUCGGGUCCUAAGCUGAGGCCGACAGGCGUAGGCGAUGGAUAACAGGUUGAUAUUCCUGUACCACCUAUAAUCGUUUUAAUCGAUGGGGGGACGCAGUAGGAUAGGCGAAGCGUGCGAUUGGAUUGCACGUCUAAGCAGUAAGGCUGAGUAUUAGGCAAAUCCGGUACUCGUUAAGGCUGAGCUGUGAUGGGGAGAAGACAUUGUGUCUUCGAGUCGUUGAUUUCACACUGCCGAGAAAAGCCUCUAGAUAGAAAAUAGGUGCCCGUACCGCAAACCGACACAGG